UGGGGAAUAUUGGACAAUGGGCGAAAGCCUGAUCCAGCCAUGCCGCGUGUGUGAAGAAGGUCUUCGGAUUGUAAAGCACUUUAAGUUGGGAGGAAGGGCAGUAAGCGAAUACCUUGCUGUUUUGACGUUACCGACAGAAUAAGCACCGGCUAACUCUGUGCCAGCAGCCGCGGUAAUACAGAGGGUGCAAGCGUUAAUCGGAAUUACUGGGCGUAAAGCGCGCGUAGGUGGUUCGUUAAGUUGAAUGUGAAAGCCCCGGGCUCAACCUGGGAACUGCAUCCAAAACUGGCGAGCUAGAGUAGGGCAGAGGGUGGUGGAAUUUCCUGUGUAGCGGUGAAAUGCGUAGAUAUAGGAAGGAACACCAGUGGCGAAGGCGACCACCUGGGCUCAUACUGACACUGAGGUGCGAAAGCGUGGGGAGCAAUCAGG
rnacentral:rRNA from 1 species